GAUGAAGAACGUAGCGAAAUGCGAUAAGUAAUGUGAAUUGCAGAAUUCAGUGAAUCAUCGAAUCUUUGAACGCACAUUGCGCCCGCUAGUAUUCUGGCGGGCAUGCCUGUUCGAGCGUCAUUUCAACCAUCAAGCCCCGUAGCUUGUGUUGGGGACCUGCGGCUGCCGCAGCCCCCGAAAUGCAGUGGCGGGCUCGUUGUCACACCGAGUGCAGUAAUCAUUCUUCUCUCCGGGCGUGGCGGCGGGUUCCGGCCGUAAAAUCACCAAUUUAUCAAGGUUGACCUCGGAUCAGGUAGGAAUACCCGCUGAACUUAAGCAUAUCAAUAAGCGGAGGA
rnacentral:misc_RNA from 1 species